rnacentral:rRNA from 1 species
AGUGAACGCUGGCGGUAGGCCUAACACAUGCAAGUCGAACGGCAGCACAGUAAGAGCUUGCUCUUACGGGUGGCGAGUGGCGGACGGGUGAGGAAUACAUCGGAAUCUACUUUUUCGUGGGGGAUAACGUAGGGAAACUUACGCUAAUACCGCAUACGACCUACGGGUGAAAGCAGGGGAUCUUCGGACCUUGCGCGAUUGAAUGAGCCGAUGUCGGAUUAGCUAGUUGGCGGGGUAAAGGCCCACCAAGGCGACGAUCCGUAGCUGGUCUGAGAGGAUGAUCAGCCACACUGGAGCUGAGACACGGUCCAGACUCCUGAGAGAAGCAGCAGUGGGGAAUAUUGGACAAAGGGCGCAAGCCUGAUCCAGCCAUACCGCGUGGGUGAAGAAGGCCUUCGGGUAGUAAAGCCCUUUUGUUGGGAAAGAAAAGCAGCAGGUUAAUACCCCGCUGUUCUGACGGUACCCAAAGAAUAAGCACCGGCUAACUACGUG